CUAAGCUCUCUGUGUUGAUUCUGGAACAUUCAUAGCUCUCAAUAUUGAAAAAUCUUCCCUUAAGAAAGAAAAUAAAAAAGCUACAAAGCAAGUUUUUUUACCAAGUAAUUGAAAAUCUGAAAUUAAAAUGUGAGCUUUUUUUAGUUAAACUGUUCCCAUAAAAAGUCUGAUGUAUUGGCUGGCUAAGAUCUCUAUUAUGUCCUGCCAGAAUGUAGAUCUGAAUUUCAAUGUCUCUUUAAUGUAUAUUUUUUUCCAUUUUCAAGAACUCUCUUUCUAGAGCUCAUCAUCUGAUGUUAUGCAUUAAAAUUCAUAAAAUUCAGCAGCUUUGUAUUAAAUUUAGGAAACAUUCAAACAAUUUAGCUGUCAGAAGGGUCUUGAUAAGGACCUAGAAACCUCUAAUAUCUCAGUGUGAAAAAGAGGGAGCUUAGGUGUGCUUAUUUGAACUUGAUUUAUUAUUAUCAGAGAGUGCUGGUGCCUGGAGCACCUGAAUGUCCUUCUAAAGGUAACUCCUGGCAAGUGGUGAGGAACAGUCAAACAAUUCAAAAGCAGAAUUAAUUUUUGGAUGCUCUUUUCUGACAUGAUAGCCCAUGAUGUGUUCUUUAGGUGAUAAUAGUGGUACCAAAUUAGCUCUUAGCUGGAAGGACCUGUGCUGAAAGGUGCUCUACCAGGAUUCCUUUCUAGUUGUGACAAGUUUUUUAUCUAUUAGAAAUAGGGCAAAUAUAAGGGAAAUUCAUUACUCCAUUAAUGGAAAAACUCCUCCUCAUUUGAGUCUGCAUGUCCAAGUGGGUUUAUCUCUUGGAAAAUUGGUAUAACAGUGUUUAAGUGGAUAUAAUAAUGCUUGCACACCUCAAAAGAAAGUUGUGAGACGUAAUAGGCUGAUUAAUUGACUUUUGUGCUGUGUGAAAUGUUUCUAUCAAUUCUUAGAUUUCGUGUGUGUGUCAAAAAUAAGAUAGACGGAUAAAUGUGUAGUUACACAUACAGGAAAAAGAAAUUUUGACUUCAAAUACAAAAUGUUGUGUUUUGAGAGACCAGGAACAAGACCUUGGGGAGCUUAUAGAUAGAUAGUUCUAUGAAAUUGUCACCUUAGUGUUCAGCAGCAGUUUGAAGAGUAAAGAGAUACUCAUAAGUAUUAGGAGAGGAAUAGAGCAGAAAACAGAAGACAUCAUUAUGACAAUAAGUACAUUCAUGGUUUUCCCACAUCUUGAUAGCUGUGUGCAAUUCUGGUCCUCUCAUUUUAAAAAAGUAUGUCCUUAAAGGGGAAAAGGUUCAGUUCGUAGUGACAAGGGCAAUUCAGAGGUCUGGAACAGUAUCUGUGUGAGGAGAAUCAAGUUACAUCUACCAGUGCACUUACUGCACUUCAGUUCAAACACAGGACAGUCUUGGAGCACCUGAAACUGAGUUCCCUUUGGAUGAAACAAAACCAGUCCAUGUCCUGGAACGUGCCUAAUACAAUGCUGGAACAUGCCCAGUGCAAUCCAGCUGCUAUUGAGUGUAAGAUUUGCAGGACCAAUUUUAUUCUAAUUGGAAGAAAAACAAAUGGUGAGGAUGCUGGAGACUCUAUAUCAAUAAUUUUAUUUUGCAAAUGCACUCCUAUUACUUGUUCUACAAUGCAGGCAUAGCUGAGAUGGACGCUUCAACCUGAAAAAUAACUUAUUUAUUUGAGAUAUGAGAGAGGUCAACAUAAUUCCAAGUGGCAUGGAGAGAAAUGCUGGAGAUCAACUGGUUAUUGUAUUUUUCAGAUACAGAUCCCAUAGAAUUAGGUAUUACAUUAAUUUGGAUCAGGUUCAAAACAAAGAAAAGGCUAAAACCAAAGACUUCAAAACAAAAGUUCUUUGUGUGGCAUGUAGUGGUCCUCCAGAACUCCUUGUCAAAGGAAGUUUUAUGUGGGUGAAGUUCAAGUGGGUGUGAAGACAGACUGGACAAAUGCUUGGAAGAGAGAUCUGUUGAUGUUAAAACUGGAUUACCAAUUGCAUCAGGAUCAGAAAAUCUCUUUGGGUGAAAGUGGCUGGAUCACUUAUGCUCCCUUUUCUUUCUCUUCCCUGCAUGUCCACUUGUGACCACUGCUGGAGAUGGAACAUUGAUCAAGGUAAGCCCUUGCUCUGAGCCAGUGUGGCCACUUGGCUAAGAAGACGAGGGCUUGAAAAAAGCUAAGCUUGAAAGUCCUGCCAGAGGUGAAUGUUAUGACAGGAUGCAGAUACAGGUGGUCGAAAUGUUUGUGUAUUGGGACUCUGGGAGCCUCCUUAUUGUCACUGCUUUCAUAAAUUCUUUAGGUCACCUACCCAAUCACUGAAGACCGUGGCAGAGAGGUGCUUCUGUAUUCUGCUCCAGCUUUGCACUAUGCAGCUUUUCACAGCCUGUUCUACUGCCACGCAGAAGAGCAGCAGUGAAAAUGCCCAUGUUUCUGGAACCCACUCCUGUGCAUGGCUGGAUUGAGAACGGAAGGGAGCGUGUGGCGCUGCUAUACGGAAAUACAGAGAGAACAAUGGUUAUCCACCGAAUUUUCAAUGGAACUACAACAAACAAGGACCAAUAAGCACUUCUGGGAACACAAUGAGAAUAUAGAUAUUUAUAUGGGACUGAGUAUUUGCAGAAGAUAAAGUUAACUCCUGACAGAAUUCUGGCAGCCAAGGAGAUUCUGCUUGGUAUGACUCCAACUAUUCAAAAGGAAACAGUACACUGUCAUGGGAGGUUGCAAAACACUGAUGGCAAAUCAGUUUUCAUUUCUGAUAAGUUAUAUAUCAUAUUUGUAUUAAUUAAAGCAAUAAAAAAUAUUUAUAUCAGACAUUCCUUUGGUGUGAAGGUGAGGAGCAGAAAAGGCCUUGAUGGUGUUUAAGCAAUGCUCAACUAUAGCUGAAACAUCUCUAUAUUAUCAACUUUGUUUCCAGCACAAAUCCAAAACACAGCCCCAUACUAGUUAAUGUAAAGAAAAUAAACUUUACCCCAGCCAAAACCAUCACAUAGGUAUUCUCUUUAAGCCAAAGAGGAAUGAGGUUCAAAGAAUCAUUCUGAAGAGGAAGCAACAGUGAGUAAAAAGGUUCACUGUGAGAUAUGAGCUAAUAUGGAAAACAAGGAGGCAGAGAUUAUAAAAAAAGUAAAAUUCUCAUCAAUUAACCUAGCCUGUAAAUAAACUGCAGAAGUUCCUAUUGUAAUUAGGGCCUAAAAAAUCUAAUAUUUGGUUUAAAGGUUGGAUUAUGGUUCUGCCAUGGACUUUCAGUCAGGGAUUAGGAUAAAAAAGAAAUAAAUUUUCUUUAGACAGAGAUUUAUAAGUUCAGAAAAAGACUUAGAAUGGGACUUGAUGUGGUGACCCAGAUUUCUAUUUACAGCCUUGUUUGCUUGUGCAGUUUUAAACAAAUAUUUACCCUAGCAUGAUAUAUUUCUUCUUUGUUCUGUGGAAUUAAAGACACUUACUGAGUGCAUGUCUUUAAUUCUCAUGUUGUAGAUGAGGACCAGUUAUUAAGUCUGAAAAGUUUGUAUUACUUUAAUGAAUCUGAAAGGCUCGUGCAGAACCGGGACCAUCAGGAGGCAUUUCAUUUCAUGCUCAGGUGCAUUGAAAAUGAUAAUGUAUGAAAAGUUUAAACUGCUACACUUUUUCAUCCUGUUAUUUAGCUAUUGUGCUGUGAAAGUGAGAGAGAUUAUUUAUGAACCGUUCCUUAACAUCAGUGUGCAGCCUCACAUCACCACUUGGCUUUCUUACAAUGUCUGAAGUGAUGAAGGUUGUUCAAGUAGACCAGUCAAUGCUUUGUGAUUUACCAUCUCUUUUUCAUCUAAGUGAUGUGCCAGGGUAAUACAGCAUAGCAGCUGCCUCACACCCUGCCUUGAUCAUUAUUUGAUGUUGCAUGAAGUCAUAGUAACAACAAGUCCAAAUUCAAUAUCUGUUGGCUCUCCUCACAGCAAAAUAAGUGGUUUAUGAUUUUUGGCUGUUAGAAGUUCUUCUGCUUUCCUUUUUUUUCCCCUGAACUAGAAGUUUUUCAGAUUCUGUAAUCUAAGAACUUUUGUGCUUUAGGUCACUGGCAUUUCCAGCUUCACAUCUGAUCUGAUGGGACUGUCUAUAAAGUAGAUCUGGCUUUUUGUCUGAGCUGGUGGCCUAACAUUAAUUUUUAAUGAGUAAAAUGAAACAUGCUUUGGUAAAAUGAGAUCCAUUCAGGCUAGAGUAGCUAAGAUGAACCAUGCCCUAAAACUACUUAUAUACCUAUUUCAUACUGUCAGUUACAAGAAGAACCUCCAGUAAUGAGGUCAGAAGUAGAAAUCUACAGUUUAGGCAUCUGAAGUAUAGAUAUCUGUCUAUCUCAGUUUAAACCACACAUAACAUGUAUCUGUGAAGCUUAAUACGUAGGUUGCCCUAAUGUCUCUGAAUUCCACCAGAAACUUCUGACAUCCUUGGAUGUGGCUUCCAUCUGGGUGUGCAGUCUCAUUUCCAAGAACUUUUGUUUUUUUCUUACCACCAAAUGAAAUGAGGCCUCAUCUUAAUCAAGGGACAGAACUUCUGAAAUGAUUUGGAAAAUUUCUUUGUCUAUGUGGUAGAGUCCUCACAUUGUAAACCAUCAUCACAAUCAUCCCUAGCUGAUGGCCAAAGCGUUAUAUUAGGCAGGUUCCCCUAAACUAAAGGAAGAACGAUGCCAGCUUAUUUCCUCAUCUUGAAAAGUGGUCCCUUUGGUGCAGUACUGCAACACUGCAGUACUACAGUACUGGUUUAGGUUGUGUUUCAUGCUAUAUCCAUUACCUCCAUAGACUACAUAUGGAUAAAAGGUUUGUAAUUUAACAAACUUGCGAUUACUAAAUAGCAGGAUGUAAAAGAGAAAGAAACACCACUGAAACAAAUAAUAAGUGUUGGAAUGUUACAUUUUCUUGUUUUUUACAUAUGACAGAGACACACCAUCAUUCUGGAGUUUGUUACUGUAUGACAGCGAAGUUGAAUUUUGACAGUAAUUUAACAGGUUUUCUCAGAUAUAUCAAAACUACAGAGCUGGGAUGGCUGUUUAAUUGCUGUCUUCUGGCAAUCUCUGAAAUUAAACAGCAUGUCCAUAACUUUACUGUUCAUUAUAGCCCAAACUAAACAAUAAUCAGAGUGUGAGACUCAGAUGUUUAAAGUCAGUUUUGUAGUUUUCUUUGGUAUUAAUGCAUUGCAUCAAGCUGCACAACUGCUUGGAUCAAAUUUACAUUUGUAUGUUUAUUCUGUAGCUCAGUAGUUAAUUUGUUUUCAAUCUGUGAUGGAGAACAUUACAAAAUGUUAUUCUCUGGUGUUUCAUUGUUAAUCCUCUGUAUAAUACACACCAAAUAUGCUAUAGCAUUUUUAGAGGAAACUUAGUUUUACAAUUCUGUAAGCAUUUUUAAUCUAAUCUAAUACUUCUCCUUCAAUUAUUUUACUUUUAUGAGAUAUUGUCUUUUGAAUUUACAUUUCCAAGUCUUAAGUAGCUUUUUUUUGGUAGUUAUUCUGAUUUUGAGAGGCUCUGCUAUUUUUAAGACAAGCAAAGAAAAAUAAUGGACAUUUCUCUAAUUGGA